GAUGAACGCUGGCGGCGUGCUUAACACAUGCAAGUCGAACGGUAAAGGCGUACCUUGCUCUGCUGCACCAGUGGCGAACGGGUGAGUAACACGUGAGCAACCUGCCCCUGACUCUGGGAUAAGCGCUGGAAACUGCGGCUAAUACCGGAUACGAGCUGCGACGGCAUCUUCAGCAGCUGGAAAUAACGUCGGUCGGGGAUGAGCUCGCGGCUUAUCAGCUUGUUGGUGGGGUAACGGCUUACCAAGGCGUCGACGGGUAGCCGGCCUGAGAGGGUGACCGGCCACAUUGGGACUGAGACACGGCCCAGACUCCUACGGGAGGCAGCAGUGGGGAAUAUUGCACAAUGGGCGGAAGCCUGAUGCAGCAACGCCGCGUGCGGGACGACGGCCUUCGGGUUGUAAACCGCUUUUGGCAGGGAAGAAGCGAAAGUGACGGUAACUGCAGAAGAAGCGCCGGCUAACUACGUG
rnacentral:rRNA from 1 species